UACGUAGGGGGCGAGCGUUGUCCGGAUUUAUUGGGCGUAAAGAGCGUGUAGGCGGUCAGGUAGGUCUGCUGUGAAAACUCGAGGCUCAACCUCGAGACGUCGGCGGAAACCAUCUGGCUAGAGUCCGGAAGAGGAGAGUGGAAUUCCUGGUGUAGCGGUGAAAUGCGCAGAUAUCAGGAGGAACACCGAUGGCGAAGGCAGGUCUCUGGGCCACUACUGACGCUGAGAAGCGAAAGCAUGGGGAGCGAACAGG
rnacentral:rRNA from 1 species